rnacentral:rRNA from 1 species
GAGUUUGAUCGUGGCUCAGAUUGAACGCUGGCGGAAUGCUUUACACAUGCAAGUCGAACGGCAGCACGGGGGCAACCCUGGUGGCGAGUGGCGAACGGGUGAGUAAUACAUCGGAACGUGCCCAGUCGUGGGGGAUAACGUAGCGAAAGCUACGCUAAUACCGCAUACGAACUCUGGUUGAAAGCGGGGGAUCGCAAGACCUCGCGCGAUUGGAGCGGCCGAUGGCAGAUUAGGUAGUUGGUGGGGUAAAGGCCUACCAAGCCGACGAUCUGUAGCUGGUCUGAGAGGACGACCAGCCACACUGGGACUGAGACACGGCCCAGACUCCUACGGGAGGCAGCAGUGGGGAAUUUUGGACAAUGGGCGCAAGCCUGAUCCAGCCAUUCCGCGUGCAGGAUGAAGGCCCUCGGGUUGUAAACUGCUUUUGUACGGAACGAAAAGGCUCUGGUUAAUACCCGGGGCUCAUGACGGUACCGUAAGAAUAAGCACCGGCUAACUACGUGCCAGCAGCCGCCGUAA